CAGCGCCGCGGUAAAACGAAGGGGGCUAGCGUUGUUCGGAAUUACUGGGCGUAAAGCGCACGUAGGCGGACAUUUAAGUCAGGGGUGAAAUCCCGGGGCUCAACCCCGGAACUGCCUUUGAUACUGGGUGUCUAGAGUAUGGAAGAGGUGAGUGGAAUUCCGAGUGUAGAGGUGAAAUUCGUAGAUAUUCGGAGGAACACCAGUGGCGAAGGCGGCUCACUGGUCCAUUACUGACGCUGAGGUGCGAAAGCGUGGGGAGCAAACAGGAUUAGAUACCCCCGUAGUCCCUGUCUCUUAUACA
rnacentral:rRNA from 1 species